AUUGAACGCUGGCGGCAGGCCUAACACAUGCAAGUCGAGCGGAUGAGAGGAGCUUGCUCUUCGAUUCAGCGGCGGACGGGUGAGUAAUGCCUAGGAAUCUGCCUAGCAGUGGGGGACAACGUUUCGAAAGGAACGCUAAUACCGCAUACGUCCUACGGGAGAAAGUGGGGGAUCUUCGGACCUCACGCUAUUAGAUGAGCCUAGGUCGGAUUAGCUAGUUGGUAGGGUAACGGCCUACAAAGGCGACAAUCCGUAACUGGUCUGAGAGGAUGAUCAGUCAGACUGGAACUGAGACACGGUCCAGACUCCUACAGGGGGCAGCAGUGGGGAAUAUUGGACAAUGGGCGAAAGCCUGAUCCAGCCAUGCCGCGUGUGUGAAGAAGGCCCUCGGGUCGUAAAGCACUUUAAGUUGGGAGGAAGGGCUUACAGCGAAUACCUGUGAGUUUUGACGUUACCGACAGAAUAAGCACCGGCUAACUUCGUGCCAGCCGCCGCAGUAA
rnacentral:rRNA from 1 species